CCUACGGGAGGCAGCAGUGGGGAAUAUUGCGCAAUGGGCGAAAGCCUGACGCAGCGACGCCGCGUGAGGGAUGAAGGUCUUCGGAUCGUAAACCUCUUUUAGCAGGGAAGAACGGUCACUGUGCUAAUCAGCAGUGAAUUGACGGUACCUGCACAGGAAGCACCGGCUAACUCCGUGCCAGCAGCCGCGGUAAUACGGAGGGUGCGAGCGUUAAUCGGAAUUACUGGGCGUAAAGCGCUCGUAGGCGGUAUGUCAAGUCAAUGGUGAAAUCCCCGCGCUCAACGUGGAAACUGACUGUGAAACUGGCAGACUGGAGUGUGUGAGAGGAUAGUGGAAGUCCAGGUGUAGGAGUGAAAUCCGUAGAGAGCUGGAGGAACAUCAGGGGCGAAGGCGACUAUCUGGCACAUAACUGACGCUGAGGAGCGAAAGCGUGGGUAGCAAACAGGAUUAGAUACCCUAGUAGUC
rnacentral:rRNA from 1 species